CCUACGGGAGGCAGCAGUGGGGAAUCUUGCGCAAUGGGCGAAAGCCUGACGCAGCCAUGCCGCGUGAAUGAUGAAGGUCUUAGGAUUGUAAAAUUCUUUCACCGGGGACGAUAAUGACGGUACCCGGAGAAGAAGCCCCGGCUAACUUCGUGCCAGCAGCCGCGGUAAUACGAAGGGGGCUAGCGUUGCUCGGAAUUACUGGGCGUAAAGGGAGCGUAGGCGGAUAGUUUAGUCAGAGGUGAAAGCCCAGGGCUCAACCUUGGAAUUGCCUUUGAUACUGGCUAUCUUGAGUACGGAAGAGGUAUGUGGAACUCCGAGUGUAGAGGUGAAAUUCGUAGAUAUUCGGAAGAACACCAGUGGCGAAGGCGACAUACUGGUCCGUUACUGACGCUGAGGCUCGAAAGCGUGGGGAGCAAACAGGAUUAGAUACCCUGGUAGUCCACGCUGUAAACGAUGAGUGCUAGUUGUCGGCAUGCAUGCAUGUCGGUGACGCAGCUAACGCAUUAAGCACUCCGCCUGGGGAGUACGGUCGCAAGAUUAAAACUUAAAGGAAAUUGACG
rnacentral:rRNA from 1 species